AAAUAAGAAUUUCUAGUUACUGAACUUGGUUGCUAAGUUUUUGAUGAUUUUAUUGAUAAUGAAAAUAAUACUAUUGACAACCAAGCAAUUGGGCUCGAGUGGUAAACGAGCUCCUACUAAGCACAUAAAGCAAAAUAAUAAUAAUAAUAAUAAUAAUAAUAAUAAUAAUAAUAAUAAUAAUAGUAAUAAUAAUAAUAAUAUUGGCGAGAUACAUUAAAUGUAGUUGACGAUGAUGAUGAUGAUGAUGAAUAUCCUAUUGCUAACAUCGGGUGUUUCGGUGGAAUAUUGAGUCAUUUUGAUGAACACUCUACAUGUCUCAAGGAGUUAUAGCUAGAUCUUCAUUGAUGAAACAGUUUAUUUGUGUUGAAUAAUAGUUUUGGCAUGCAUUGUUAUAUGUGCAUCUGAAUUAUAGUAUUUCAAUAAUUUUAUCUUAGGAGUAUGAUUGCUUAUCUUAUAUAUGAGUAUGACUGCUUACUCAUUAUUUUACGUCGAUAGAUGAAGAGAUCGCAUGUGAAGAUGGUAUCGAUGCAGAAUCUAAGGAGUGAUCGGCAAUACCGUAUCAGAGGUUGUAUAUUUUGUAUGUAGCCAUUUUUGGCUAGCUUGUUAUGUUAUUUGGAUUUUUAGGAUCGAUUUUCGAAAUUAUGUGUUCUAAUAUUUGAUUUUAGCAUGCUUGGUUUAUUGUUAUCUCAGCAUUUUGUUUUGUGACUUCUUUAUUGUAAAUGUUUUUAAUUGCACCACAUAUUCUUUAUUGAUGCAAGUUUGUUUUAAGUUAUUGCAGUUACAGUUGAAAUCAUUCAUUGUUUUAUUUUUAGAAAAUUUAUAUUCUUUCUAUCUUUUAGUCUGACAUUGUUGAUUUAAGGUUUUUAUCAAAUCUUUACUGAUUCAUGAUUUUAAAAUUUUACUGUCGGGGAUUUGUACUAAUCUGUCAAGCCUAAUGAUACAAAUUGGAACAUCGGUAUAUAGAACUACUAAAUUGCGUCUGUAGAAAAUCCGUUUUUAAAGGACCAUAAUUCAUUAGCAUCAUAAUGGAUUCGAUAUUUGUAAAUUUUUGUGUGAGAAUUCUGGUUGCCAUAUGUCUGAUGAUCGAAACUGUGUUUGAAAUCUUAUUUUAUUUUACAGAGGAUCAGAAUACGAUUUCCAUUCUUUUAACCAACCAUGACCAAUUGGACUCGGGAAAAUGUCUUGUAAAGGGGGGGUCUUGAAAUUAAUAACCAAAAAGUUGAACCUGAGAACAGCAAACUUGGUGACCUGCAGGAUCCUGAGACUCGAUCAACUGUCGAGAAAAUGAUGUUUGAUCAGAGGUAGAAAUCCAUGGGCCUUCCUACAAGUGAGGAGCUUAAUAAACAAGACAUGAUGAAGAAAUUUAUGAGUCAGCAUCCUGAGCUGGACUUCUUGAGGCCAAAAUCAUCUUAGAAUGGUGCUAUGGUUUUGGCAAAAUAAUCUUUAGUUCACAAACAUGUUUUGGUGAAAACACAUUGCCUUUAUUUGUAUUAAACAUAUUUUAGAGUUUUAGACCUUGCAUAAUUGAAAAGAGAAGCCAACCAAUUUUGCAAACCAACAACAACCUGUCAAGUAAAAUUCAGAUUGAGACAGUUAGCUGCAGCAUGCGCAGAAUUGAGAACACCAACAAACUGAGUCGAACAGAAUGAGCGUGCCGAUUUAGCCUUAUCUUGUUCGAAUCGUCCACCGCCUAUUCUUCCUGCUGCUUUUCUUUUAAAUACUUUUCUAACAUUCUAAUGGAUUUAAACUCCACUUAUAGAAAAUGUAACAAAAUGAUGAGCUUUUCAACCCCAUAAAACAGUACCAGGAAUAUAACUUAAUAUCCUCUACCAACUGAUUCAAAUCAACCAUAUCACCUUUAAAUAUAAUCCUAUUUCUUGCAAGCCAAAUCUUCUAAGAUGUAAUCAUCCAAAUUAAAUUUCUAACUUUUAAAUUUAAUAUUUCCCCAAAAUUUAUGUGGCACCUAAAGCAUAAUGUGGUGUGCUAUUAAAAUGAAUAAAAUGCAAAAAAUUAUUAUGGCACAUGAGACUUUUCACCAACAUUUAACCUAAAUUUCCUAUUGGUGUUGUGAUUCUUCGUAUUUCCUAUUUUCUGUAAUCA